GACAGAGGGUGCGAACGUUGCUCGGAAUUACUGGGCGUAAAGCGCGUGUAGGCGGGUGAUCAAGUCAGGUGUGAAAUCCCUGGGCUCAACCCAGGAACUGCACUUGAAACUGGUUGCCUUGAGUGUUGGAGAGGGAAGCGGAAUUCCUGGUGUAGAGGUGAAAUUCGUAGAUAUCAGGAGGAACACCGGUGGCGAAGGCGACACGCUGGGCCAUACCGUGACGCUGAAAGCAGCGACAGCAUGGGGGAGCA
rnacentral:rRNA from 1 species